AAUUGCAGUUGAACGAGAAAGCCGGGUGCNACCUGGCUGAGUAAAGUGGCGUUACNCGCCUUUCUAACACGCUGCGAUCAUCGUACCCUGGUAGGUGGGGAAUAACGCNUGGGAAACCGGCGNUNAUACCGCAUAAUCCCGAGAGGGCAAAGGAAGCAAUUCCGUUUCAGGAGGAGUCCGCGGCCGAUUAGCUAGUUGGCAGGGUAAAAGCCUACCAAGGCAACGAUCGGUAGCCGGCCUGNGAGGGCACACGGCCACACUGGCACUGAAACACGGGCCACACUCCUACGGGAGGCANCANUGGGGAAUCUUGCACAAUGGGGGCAACCCUGAUGCACCGACGCCGCGUGAGCGAUGAAGCCCUUCNGGGUGUAAAGCUCUUUCGNCAGGNAAAAUUAUGACGGUACCUGNANAAGCAGCUGUGGCUAACUACUGUGCCACCAGCCNCGNUAAUACAUAGGCAGCAAGCGUUGUUCGGAGUNACUGGGCGUAAAGGGUGUGUAGGCGGCCUUCUAANUUUGGUGUGAAAUCUCCCGGCUCAACCGGGAGGGUGCGCCGAAGACUGNUGGGCUANAGUAUGGGAUGGGAGAGUAGAAUUUCCGGUGUAGCGGUGAAAUGCGUAGAUAUCGGAAGGAAUACNUGUGGUGUAGACGGCUCUCUGGUACAUAACUGACGCUGAGANAACGAAAGC
rnacentral:rRNA from 1 species